GAUGAAGAACGUAGCGAAAUGCGAUAAGUAAUGUGAAUUGCAGAAUUCAGUGAAUCAUCGAAUCUUUGAACGCACAUUGCGCCCGCCAGCAUUCUGGCGGGCAUGCCUGUUCGAGCGUCAUUUCAACCCUCGAGCCCCCCCGGGGGCCUCGGUGUUGGGGGACGGCACACCAGCCGCCCCCGAAAUGCAGUGGCGACCCCGCCGCAGCCUCCCCUGCGUAGUAGCACACACCUCGCACCGGAGCGCGGAGGCGGUCACGCCGUAAAACGCCCAACUUUCUUAGAGUUGACCUCGGAUCAGGUAGGAAUACCCGCUGAACUUAAGCAUAUCAAGCGGAGGA
rnacentral:misc_RNA from 1 species